AUAUACCGGCUUUCGAAAAUGGCACAAAUCCGGCCCAGACAUUGGCACGUGCACCUUCAGCAGACGAAAAUCAGGUAGUGAUGAAAACGUGCAUAUAGACUUGAAAGAGAGAGAAAGAGAUGAGAUGAGGAAGAGGAGGGGGUUGGUUAGAUCAGCUGAAGAAGCCAUGUUGGAAAAGAAACUAAAAACGUUUAAAUUACGAAAUGGAACCCAUUUGCAGACUACACGACAACAGACCCGAAAUGUGAAUACUUCCUCAUGUGGCAAAACAAUUUCAUUAAUAAAGAAAAUGCAAUUGAUCCAAACAACUAAAGUUAAACUAAACUGAAUCUCAAAUAGAACAAUAAAUUACCUGUGGCUGAUCCAAAAUUCGAUUUCAUCGGCAUGCAGCUCAAUAGCCACCAUUUUGGGCACGAAAAUCUUAAGAACUAAAAUAUAUUUUUAUUAUUCAUGAGCUAGAUAAGGAUAUCUUACAAAUUGGAAGAAUUGGACAAGAUUGAAUUGAAUAGAAGGAAAUAAGAAAGUGUUUAGUUACAAUUACAAUGAACAGCCGUGUGACACCGAUAUUGCUUCUGCCUCACUUAGUACAAAAGGACCUCACUCAGUCACUCCAUGCAUUCUGUCGACUUACUGCAGAAUCGUGAAAUGGGUGUAUUCCCAUCGUUUCUCAAGAACACGUACCUUAACAUUCAGUGUGUCGUAUACCGGCUUCAACUGAAUUACGUUGAUCUCAAAAAACAGAAACCCAAUUUUAAAAACUAAAAUUAUAACAAAUAAAAUGUUAUGGCAGCGGCGAGAUUCGAACUCGCGCCUCCGAGGAGACUGGUGCCUUAAACCAGCGCCUUAGACCGCUCGGCCACGCUACCCACACUCAUAUGUUUGUCAGGAAUUACUAUAACCUAUCAUUAAUUUUUGACAAGUUUCAACUUGAGCAAAUAACAAAACGAAGUCUUGUUUUUCCGAUCAAAAUUACUUUUUUAAGUGUUACAACACAAGGCAUAAAAAUUCUAAAAAAUUAAAAAGCUGAGGCCAAAUUCGUUUUUUAAUACAAUGGUUUAACACACGUUGUUUUUUAUGC